UGGAGAGUUUGAUCCUGGCUCAGGACGAACGCUGGCGGCGUGCCUAAUACAUGCAAGUCGAGCGGAGUYAUUUUGAAAGCUUGCUUUCAAAAUAACUUAGCGGCGGACGGGUGAGUAACACGUAGGCAACCUGCCCUUCAGACUGGGAUAACUACCGGAAACGGUAGCUAAUACCGGAUAAUUUCUUUUUUCUCCUGAGAGAAGAAUGAAAGACGGAGCAAUCUGUCACUGAGGGAUGGGCCUGCGGCGCAUUAGCUAGUUGGUGGGGUAACGGCCCACCAAGGCGACGAUGCGUAGCCGACCUGAGAGGGUGAACGGCCACACUGGGACUGAGACACGGCCCAGACUCCUACGGGAGGCAGCAGUAGGGAAUCUUCCGCAAUGGGCGAAAGCCUGACGGAGCAACGCCGCGUGAGUGAUGAAGGUUUUCGGAUCGUAAAGCUCUGUUGCCAGGGAAGAACGUCCGGUAGAGUAACUGCUACCGGAGUGACGGUACCUGAGAAGAAAGCCCCGGCUAACUACGUGCCAGCAGCCGCGGUA
rnacentral:rRNA from 1 species